rnacentral:rRNA from 1 species
AUUGAACGCUGGCGGCAGGCUUAACACAUGCAAGUCGAGCGAGUGGCGGACGGGUGAGUAAUGUCUGGGAAACUGCCUGAUGGCGGGGGAUAACUACUGGAAACGGUAGCUAAUACCGCAUACCAUCGGAUGUGCCCAGAUGUGAUUAGCUAGUAGGUGGGGUAAUGGCUCACCUAGGCGACAAUCCCUAGCUGGUCUGAGAGGAUGAACAGCCACACUGGAACUGAGACACGGUGCAGACUCCUACGGGAGGCAGCAGUGGGGAAUAUUGCACAAUGGGCGCAAGCCUGAUGCAGCCAUGCCGCGUGUAUGAAGAAGGCCUUCGGGUUGUAAAGUACUUUAAGCGAGGAGGCGUUACGCGCAGAAGAAGCACCGGCUAACUCCGUGCCAGCAGCCGCGGUAAUAC